rnacentral:sRNA from 1 species
GUGAAAUAAUCAUAAUCCUACUAUAUUAUUUGGGAAGUACAUUUUAAAUGUAAUCUUAUUUUUUGUAAGUAAUUACAUAGGUAUGCCAUUAGAAAUAAAAUUUAAAGAGUAAAUUAAUUCAUCUCUUUAAA